rnacentral:ncRNA from 1 species
UAGGCUGAGGAGCAAAAGGAGAAAGCCGCCCAAGGAGGGGCUCGCGUCUGAUUAGCUAGUUGGUGAGGCAAUAGCUUACCAAGGCGAUGAUCAGUAGCUGGUCCGAGAGGAUGAUCAGCCACACUGGGACUGAGACACGGCCCAGACUCCAGACACGGCCCAGACUCCUACGGGAGGCAGCAGUGGGGGAUUUUCCGCCAUGGGCGAAAGCCUGACGGAGCAAUGCCGCGUGGAGGUGGAAGGCCUACGGGUCGUCAACUUCU